UAGGGAAUCUUCGGCAAUGGACGAAAGUCUGACCGAGCAACGCCGCGUGAGUGAAGAAGGUUUUCGGAUCGUAAAACUCUGUUGUUAGAGAAGAACAAGGACGUUAGUAACUGAACGUCCCCUGACGGUAUCUAACCAGAAAGCCACGGCUAACUACGUGCCAGCAGCCGCGGUAAUACGUAGGUGGCAAGCGUUGUCCGGAUUUAUUGGGCGUGAAGCGAGCGCAGGCGGUUUCUUAAGUCGGAUGUGAAAGCCCCCGACUCAACCGGGGAGGGUCAUUGGAAACUGGGAGACUUGAGUGCAGGAGAGGGGAGUGGAAUUCCAUGUGUAGCGGUGAAAUGCGUAGAUAUAUGGAGGAACACCAGUGGCGAAGGCGGCUCUCUGGUCUGUAACUGACGCUGAGGCUCGAAAGCGUGGGGAGCAAACAGG
rnacentral:rRNA from 1 species